UUUUUGUCUUUUGUGGUUCUGCAUAAAACAAAACCCAUCGCCUUCCCCUGAUAUACCUUCAUGUUUUUAUGGUGCAGUCAUUAACCGGUGGCGGUGGUUUAAUUUUCCCUCCCAUUCUCAAUCACGCUGAUUUGAAUUCUGAAUCACGCUUUUUGUUUGUGUAAAACACCUUCCUCAGAUAUCGUCUCGUCGUCUAGGCGUUAUCUGGUGCUCUAAUUUUCCCUCUACAAACAGUUUCAUCUAUAAAUUU
rnacentral:lncRNA from 1 species